rnacentral:rRNA from 1 species
AGAAUCAACGCUGGCGGCGUGCCUAACACAUGCAAGUCGAACGAGAAAGUGGAGCAAUCCAUGAGUAAAGUGGCGCACGGGUGAGUAACACGUGACUAACCUACCCUCGAGUGGGGAAUAACCUCGGGAACCGGGGCUAACACCGCAUAACAUCUACGGAUCAAAUGCGUAAGCAGCUUGAGGAGGGGUCGCGGCUGAUUAGCUAGUUGGCGGGGUAAUGGCCCACCAAGGCAGUGAUCAGUA